GGGGCCAUAGCUCAGCUGGGAGAGCGCUUCCAUGGCAUGGAAGAGGUCGUCGGUUCGAUCCCGUCUGGCUCCACCA
rnacentral:tRNA from 1 species